AACCGAUUCGCAGUUGCAUGUCGCCAGUUGCACGGAGAGAAAGGCUGCGGCAGCGGAAAAAAAAAGAGAAAACAAAUGAUAUGUAACCAAAUUUCUUCCUGGCGGCCAGUCUGCCACCAAUUGCUGACUUUAACACCAACAUGGGCCAAAAGGUGCAAACGGACCCCCUCCAUUUGAUUCAUUUCGCUUCCAAACAUUUGCGCGCAACUUUCACUUUACUGCAUACAAAAAUCAAGGAAAAUCAGGAAGAUAAGAUUGUAAUUAACUGUGGGGAAUUCUUUAAACUUUUUAAAUGAGUGUUUUUAAACUCUUGGUAAGCACUUAUUAAUAGUAGUUGACGAAAAGUGUUGACCAAAGUGGAAUCAACACAAGGGUUAAGUAUGCGGCUCAGUGCGUUUUCGGCAACUAACAAGAUCAACAAAAAAGACACAAUAAAAUACGACUGGCACGGCUUCAUUGGUUUUGCGGUUAAAAUGUUGCAACAAGAACUGGCAAUGCCACAAAAAUUGGACAACUGAAAACGCAGCAAAAGAAAUGAGUCGCAGCUUGAAAUACAUUUGGUACUUAUUGAAAAUUAUCGGAUACACAACUUUAUAAAUCAUUUAAAAUUUGCAUAACUGAGCUAAGAAAUCGGAUGCUUCAAUUUCGUAAGAUUCGCCCAAAAGAACCUAUGAAAAAGCCAUAACCAUUGGACUACCCACCUUUGUCUAGACUAAUAAUACCCCUUGCAUAGCAGCAUCAAAACCGCGAAGUAGCGGCAGAAAACUGGCGAAUCUAUAAAAAUGCAAAUUAGAAGAAGCGAAAAAAUAACACAAUAAACGACUCCAGAAACUGGAACGAACCGAGGCUGCGAUUCAGACCAAAGACUGCAGCUCCAACUCCGAUUUGGAUUCAGAUCGAGGGGCCGCCGAUAAAACGUUACUCGUGCCAUUGCCUCUGGGCCGCAAAAGCGUUGGUGAUCUAUGGACUGGCUAGCCCAAUUGGUCAAGAAGCUAUUUGGGUUAACUGCAGCUGCAACACGCCGACGAUCGGAAAACUCGGGCCAAUUAAUUGUGCGGAAAUGUGCGAGGCGCGUCAUAAAUACUGUCGCUUUUCUCAUCUCUCUUUCAGCAGCGGCGGUCUUCGAUGGGAAGUUGCUCCUCCUCCUUCGUGAUGGUCAGUGGUUACACU